AUGGUGUUCCUCAACACAAUCAUCGCAGCACAGGAAUCCAAUUCCGUGAUGGUGUUACUCAACACAAUCAUCGCAACACAGGAAGUCAUUUUCGGGGACGUGGAGCUAAGAAUCCCCUUGUGACUAAAAGAUUCUCCGAGGAUUUCGAUUUUGAGGCAAUGAAUGAAAAAUUCAAUAAGAAAGAGGUAUGGGAUUUUCUAGGCAGAAGUAACAAAGAUGAACCAGAUGAAGGAAUCGGGGAUGAGAAAGAGAUGGGUGAAAGUGACGCUGAGGAUACAACAGGGGAUCGAAGUGCAAAACAUGAUAAUAAGCCUGUCUAUUGUAAGGAGGACUUCUUUGAUUCUCUUUCUUGCCAUGCACUUGAUCGUGAAUCUGGGAAAGUGAAGUUCUCCGACCAAAGGAAAAAAGACGUCGAGACAUUUGGUGAGAUUCAGAAGAACCCAUGGGGUCGUAGUCAGAGACCUCGCAUGUCAGGGGGGG
rnacentral:misc_RNA from 1 species